CCCACAGAAACAUGCAAGAAGGAUCUGAUACGACGGCGAAUCAUCGCUGCCGGAGAUAGUCCCGCCACCAGAACUAACGGUAAUACUCUUAUUUCACUCUUGUUUACACUUUUCGAUUAGAAACUGCUUUAUAAAUUUUAAUUACUACAUUAAAAAGAUACUUAGAUUUUAUGUUCCAUGAGUAUCAAUUAUCAUCUACAAAGAUAUUAAGAUACCUAGGUUUUACUUCGCUCUUGUUAUUUUGUCUAUAAUAAUAUUAUUUGAUUGAUGUUAUAUUUGGCAUGUGUAAGCUAAUUUACGAAGAUAAACAGCUUAUAGCACAAGUUCUUAUUAUGAUAAGCACUUAUGUAUAGGCUUGCAUAAGCUAUUUUUAUAGCAAAGAUAAAAUAAAGUUAAAUUGUUUUUGUAUAUGUUAUAAAUUGUUUUUCUAAGCUAGGGUGAAGAAUUUACGAAAAUAAGUUGAAAAAAGCUUAUGAAAACUGUCAUAAGCUGUUUUCUUAAGUUCUUCCUAACUAUCUCACAAAACUUAUGUGAGUAGAUAAACUCAAAUAAGUCAAUCCAAACAAGUCCGUGAUACAUUUCCUGAAAUUAUCAACUGCAUUUAGGGUUAGCUCUAAACUCCAUGCUUGUUCCUUUCCGUUUUAGUUUUAACGACGGUGUAUCCAGUGAAAUUUGAUUUGUUGGUGUGCUGUAACCUGCUGGAUUUCAUUAUUGUAUCAUGAAUGGGUCAGAUUUGUUUUCAUGUUUUUAAUUAGGCUAUUUUCUAGGUUCUUGUUGCACAAUUAGUGUAAAUGCAACAGAUUAUGCUGCACAGAUCAAAUUUAUUGGUGCACUUAGUGAUCAUUCAUAAUUGUGUUUGAUAUAUAUUUCUUCACUGUAAUUUCCUGAAAAAUAUAGGAAUUAGGAAAUGCUAUCAAACUUUGUAAUAUGGCAUUUUUUUUAAACCAUUAUAAAAAGUGCCAAUGCUUGUUUUAUUGCUUUCAUUUUAAGUAGUUGAAGGAUGUUCAACUUCACCGGUGAGGUUAAGGUGUACCUUACUCUAUGUGAAGAACAAUAUAUCUAGUAAUCAAUAUAUCUAAUAAUCAGUGUUGUUGAUGGUGGACCAUGGUGGAGAGCCAAAAAUCUGACAUAUGGUGCGCCAUAUUUGAUUAUGGCCCGCCGUCCUUCACAAAAUCGGCCAUGGAAGAAAGGCAUAAAGCCAAAAACCCGCCAUCGAUAUCCGCCAUGACCAAUAUUUGACAACACCACUAGCUAGUAAGGUUAGAAAUACAACAAUCAUGUUCUUCUUAGUUUUAAGAAAGGAAGAUUGAAUGGAGAUGCAUUAUUGUUCGGUUUGAUAUUAUGUGUUGCGAUUACUUGAAUGAAGGAUUUGUCGUGAUUUCCAUCCUCUCUUGGGUAUGUGAAAAAGCAACUCAAUGUUCUUAUGAUGAGAUAUUUGUAAAUGUUUUUGUGCUCUUUUUCAUGAACAAAUUCUGAAAUUGGAUCAAACAAACACAAAGUUCAAUGUAAUAAAAGUCUAAAAUUAAUGAUGCCAAAUAAGGGUAUGAACAAAACCAACCUAUUUUACUAUUCUAGUCUAUAAGAAAAAUCCAAUUUUACAUAGCAAAGACUGCAUUGAGACUUGGUUGCGAUGAUUUAAAUAAGGUUUUAGUACAAAAUACAAAAUACUACUGAUAAAUAGUCAAAAUAGUUAAUAAUUAGAUUCAGCAAAAUAACACUUGUCGCAAACAAAGUAUAAUUUAACAUAAUAAUAAGUUUCUUUUUGAAACAACAACCUAAAAAGUUAAAAACACUUCAAAUGUCUACAUCAAUAGAAAAACAUAUAGAAACAGUUCAGCCAGAACUCUGCAUACUACCAAAUCCAGUCAAACUUCACCAGUUGUACUAACGAUCCCUUGCAUUUUUUCUACUCAUCUUGCUGAUCCGGCUCCAAAUUCAAGUCCGGAAGUAGUCUCCUUGGAGAUUCUUGACCAAUCUGAAUAUCACCUUGAGCACCGUUCUCACCUGCAACAUUUUCUUCACCUGAUGUUGAGCUUCCACUUGGUAUGUUACUUGUUCUUGAUCCGGCAUUUGUUCCUGAUCCUGCAUUCAAAUUUGUAUUAGAUUCCACCAUUUCAGUCUCCAUUGCUUUUUGAGCUACCAAAAUGGUGUUGUCAGCUGUUGAAUCUGCUCCUGAGUUCUGCAAAUCUGUUGAGUCUGCCAAUUUAUUAUCAUCUGCACUUGCACUGUCAAAACUCAUGUCCAAGUCAAUUUCAGAAUCGCUUAAUUCUUCAUAGCUUGCUCUUUUACUGCGAGCCCUAAGAUUGUAGGCAAUCUUUUUGGAUGUUGUCCCUGAAAGUUUUGAUCAAACAAUAUCAAGUUUAUGUGUCUAAAUAGUCAUGACAAAUUAUAAUAAAGAUAGUUUAAAAUAUUAUAUUUGUAUAAGAAACAUUUGCACAAAUGUUGAUUCUGAUAUUGAAUCUGGAAUUAGAUUCUCUGUUGUGAUGCAAUUAUUGAUCUUGAUUGUCUGAUCGAAAUCAAUGACAGAUAUUAUUUGAAGUUGAUUUGUGAAUA